GUCCAACUAGCUCACUUGGUUUGAGUGUGGUGCUGAUAACGCCAAGGUGGCAGGUUCGAUCCCUGUAUGGGACA